GGACGAACGCUGGCGGCGUGCUUACCACAUGCAAGUCGAACGGAAAGGCCCUGCUUGCAGGGUACUCGAGUGGCGAACGGGUGAGUAACACGUGGGUGAUCUGCCCUGCACUUCGGGAUAAGCCUGGGAAACUGGGUCUAAUACCGGAUAGGAGCCAUUUUUAGUGUGAUGGUUGGAAAGUUUUUUCGGUGUAGGAUGAGCUCGCGGCCUAUCAGCUUGUUGGUGGGGUAAUGGCCUACCAAGGCGGCGACGGGUAGCCGGCCUGAGAGGGUGGACGGCCACAUUGGGACUGAGAUACGGCCCAGACUCCUACGGGAGGCAGCAGUGGGGAAUAUUGCACAAUGGGCGCAAGCCUGAUGCAGCGACGCCGCGUGGGGGAUGACGGCCUACGGGUUGUAAACUCCUUUCGCUAGGGACGAAGCUUUUGUGACGGUACCUAGAUAAGAAGCACCGGCUAACUACGUG
rnacentral:rRNA from 1 species